rnacentral:sRNA from 1 species
AAAUAAACCUGAUAGAGCGUAAAGCCCACAGCGUAGCGAGGACUUGAAGCGAUAGCAGGACUUUCG